UACGAAGGGGGCUAGCGUUGCUCGGAAUUACUGGGCGUAAAGCGCACGUAGGCGGCUUUCUAAGUCGGGGGUGAAAUCCUGGAGCUCAACUCCAGAACUGCCUUCGAUACUGGAAAGCUCGAGUCCGGGAGAGGUGAGUGGAACUGCGAGUGUAGAGGUGAAAUUCGUAGAAUAUUCGCAAGAACACCAAUGGCGAAAGGCAGCUCUCUGGGACGGUACUGACGCUGAGACGCGAAAGCGUGGGGAGCGAACAGG
rnacentral:rRNA from 1 species